GACGAACGCUGGCGGCGUGCUUAACACAUGCAAGUCGAACGAUGAACUUGGAGCUUGCUCUGGGGGAUUAGUGGCGAACGGGUGAGUAACACGUGAGUAACCUGCCCUGGACUCUGGGAUAACUUCGAGAAAUCGGAGCUAAUACCGGAUAGGACCUUGCACCGCAUGGUGUGGGGUGGAAAGUUUUUCGGUUUGGGAUGGACUCGCGGCCUAUCAGCUUGUUGGUGAGGUAAUGGCUCACCAAGGCGUCGACGGGUAGCCGGCCUGAGAGUGUGACCGGCCACACUGGGACUGGGACACGGCCCAGACUCCUGCGGGAGGCAGCAGUGGGGAAUAUUGCACAAUGGGCGCAAGCCUGAUGCAGCAACGCCGCGUGCGGGAUGACGGCCUUCGGGUUGUAAACCGCUUUUAGUAGGGAAGAAGCCUUCGGGUGACGGUACCUGCAGAAAAAGGACCGGCUAACUACGUGCCAGCAGCCGCCGUAAGAC
rnacentral:rRNA from 1 species